GAGUUUGAUCCUGGCUCAGAGCGAACGCUGGCGGCAGGCCUAACACAUGCAAGUCGAACGGACCCUUCGGGGUUAGUGGCGGACAGGUGAGUAACACGUGGGAACGUGCCUUUAGGUUCGGAAUAGCUCCUGGAAACGGGUGGUAAUGCCGAAUGUGCCCUUCGGGGAAAGGAUUUAUCGCCUUAGUAGCGGCCGCGUCUGAUUAGCUAGUUGGUGAGGUAACGGCUCACCAAGGCGACGAUCAGUAGCUGGUCUGAGAGGAUGACCAGCCACACUGGGACUGAGACACGGCCCAGACUCCUACGGGAGGCAGCAGUGGGGAAUCUUGCGCAAUGGGCGAAAGCCUGACGCAGCCAUGCCGCGUGAAUGAUGAAGGUCUUAGGAUUGUAAAAUUACUUUCACC
rnacentral:rRNA from 1 species